rnacentral:rRNA from 1 species
UACAGAGGGUGCGAGCGUUAAUCGGAAUUACUGGGAGUAAAGCGUGCGUAGACGGCUAUCUAAGUCGGGUGUGAAAGCCCCGGGCUCAACCUGGGAAUUGCAUUCGAGACUGAAUAGCUAGGGUACGGUAGAGGGAAGCGGAAUUUCCGGUGUAGCGGUGAAAUGCGUAGAUAUCGGAAGGAACAUCAGUGGCGAAAGCGGCUUCCUGGACCAGUACCGACGUUCAGGCACGAAAGCGUGGGGAGCAAACAGG